rnacentral:rRNA from 1 species
UACGGAGGGAGCUAGCGUUGUUCGGAAUUACUGGGCGUAAAGCGCGCGUAGGCGGCCUUCUAAGUCAGACGUGAAAUCCCCCGGCUUAACCUGGGAACUGCGUCUGAUACUGGAGGGCUUGAGUGCGGGAGAGGGAUGUGGAAUUCCAGGUGUAGCGGUGAAAUGCGUAGAUAUCUGGAGGAACACCGGUGGCGAAGGCGGUUCUCUGGGCCUUACCUGACGCUGAGGAGCGAAAGCGUGGGGAGCGAACAGG